UACAGAGGUCCCGAGCGUUGUUCGGAUUCACUGGGCGUAAAGGGUGCGUAGGUGGCCUGAAAAGUUUGAUGUGAAAGCUCAGGGCUUAACCCUGAAAUGGCAUUGAAUACUGUUGGGCUGGAGGUUUGGAGGGGGGACUGGAAUUCUUGGUGUAGCAGUGAAAUGCGUAGAUAUCAAGAGGAACACCAGUGGCGAAGGCGAGUCCCUGGACAACACCUGACACUGAGGCAACAAAAGCUAGGGGAGCAAACAGG
rnacentral:rRNA from 1 species